CCUUUUAAAGAAGUCCAAUAUAAAAGGGGAAAACGAAAUAAUCAGGAGAAAAAAAUCUUCUCAUACCGACAAAUGAAUUUUUCUGCUUAAUCAAUUACCAUUAGGCAUUAGACAAAUUCAUUUUUGGUAGCAAGGUAUGAAAUGCUGUGAACAACUAUGCCCGAUAUGAUUUGUGAAACACAGUGUAAAACGUGCAUUGAAUCAUUUGUUCCAACCUCUGCUGCCUGCAAAGAGCUCUUACAUGCAUCACCUAAAUGACAGGCCACCAUGAACUAAGGAGCUUUGAUCCAUCACUUCCUUCCACUGCCUUGGAGCCUGCUGACCAUGGACUGAGUCCCUGAAAGCAUGAGCUAAAUUAAGCCUCUCUUCCUUUAAUUUAUACUGUCUAAACAUACCAAAGGUAUUUAUCCUUUUCUCUUCUCUCAGCCAAAAAGGAGAUCAGUUUAAAUGCCUACAGUAGGUACCCAGUAAAUGAAAAACUCCACUGAAGGAAAUGACAUCUAAUGAGGCACAUUUCUCUUCCUUUAAAAGUUCUUCAAUGAAAAAAAGCACCAUAAAGAAUAAAACGCUUUUAAAACAACAAAUUUCAGACAUUAGUUCCUGAUGUGCCUUAUAUGACUGUGAAAUGCAAAAGUCUCAUGCAUGAUCUACUUAAGAGCCAACACUGCAAGACACUAACACUUCUGGAUCAUCAAGAAAUGAGAAUCACAAGACAGAUCUCACCAGGAGGUGAGACAGAUGAAAGUGAGCCCAUCACUGUGAACCACAGAAGCACUGAAACAGCCAGAUGUCCAUCAAACAGAAGUGACGUGAUGAUUUGUAAAUAAAAGAAAGUGUAAUAUUAGCCAAGAUGUAAGAGUACUAUGUAGCACUAAAAAAUAAUGCUAUGGCAACAUGACAAUUUUGUCCAAGGAACUGAAAAAAGGAGAAGACUAACCUGGGUAUAGUGCUUUAGAGUUCACAAGGUGCUAUAUCGUAUUUUAUCUGCGCAACAGAAUUAUCAUUUUGAUUUUUAAUUAAUAAGCUAAGGUUUUACAAGGUUAAGUAUGUGAACCAAAACCUGAAUGUUAUUCAUUCAUAUCUACUGAGCCAGA